AGUUCACAGACGGACAAUAUAAAAUGUAUAGGUCUCUCAGGCCACCUGCUGAUCGUGCUGUAGUCUGGGGGGGGGGGGAAGCCAUUUUAAAGCGAAAGGGAAGACGGAUAUCUAUAAGCAUAGCUUGCUAUCCCAUUAAAGAGGACCUCUCCUGACCCCCAACCAUCCCCAGGCAUGCCCCUUGUGUCUCAUGGACGGAGAUCCUGCUCUUUGCCCCGGUCAUGCAGACUGCCUGGGACAAGGUAGACUUUUCAAUGUUUUAUUCCGCACACACAGAAAAUGGCUGCAGCUCUAGCACGU